UACGGAGGGGGCAAGCGUUAUCCGGAAUUAUUGGGCAUAAAGCGUCCGUAGGUGGCAAUUCAAGUCUGCUGUCAAAGCAUGGAGCUUAACUCCAUAGAGGCAGUGGAAACUGAAUAGCUAGAGUUCGGUAGGGGUAGCGGGAAUUCCCAGUGUAGCGGUGAAAUGCGUAGAGAUUGGGAAGAACAUCGGUGGCGAAAGCGCGCUACUGGGCCGAAACUGACACUGAGGGACGAAAGCUAGGGGAGCGAAAGGG
rnacentral:rRNA from 1 species